UUUAAUCACAGCCAAAAGUUUUCGCAUCCAACAUUGAUAGUUUACCUUAUUUAAAAUUUUUUAUGAUUAGUAUUUUUAUUUUAAUUACUUAAUAAAACAUAAAUAUUACUUUAUGCGUGAUUUAUGUGUUUAGUUUUUUUAAAAAAGUUUUAAAUAAUACAGACGAUUAAAAUUGGACACAGAAACUCACGAUUACACUUAAA
rfam:Oryza punctata chromosome 9, whole genome shotgun sequence.